rnacentral:rRNA from 1 species
UACGUAGGGUGCAAGCGUUAAUCGGAAUUACUGGGCGUAAAGCGUGCGCAGGCGGCUUUGCAAGACAGAUGUGAAAUCCCCGGGCUUAACCUGGGAACUGCAUUUGUGACUGCAUGGCUGGAGUGCGGCAGAGGGGGAUGGAAUUCCGCGUGUAGCAGUGAAAUGCGUAGAGAUGUGGAGGAACACCGAUGGCGAAGGCAGCCCCCUGGGCCAAUACUGACGCUCAUGCACGAAAGCGUGGGGAGCAAACAGG